rnacentral:rRNA from 1 species
GACGAACGCUGGCGGCGUGCUUAACACAUGCAAGUCGAACGGUGAAGGGGUCUGCUUUUGUGGGCCCUGGAUGAGUGGCGAACGGGUGAGUAACACGUGAGUAACCUGCCCCCUUCUUCUGGAUAACCGCAUGAAAGUGUGGCUAAUACGGGAUAUUCUGGGUCUGUCGCAUGAUGGGUCUGGGAAAGAUUGCGCCUUUGGGUGUUUUUGGUGGGGGAUGGGCUCGCGGCCUAUCAGCUUGUUGGUGGGGUGAUGGCCUACCAAGGCGGUGCCGGGUAGCCCGCCUGGGAGGGUGGACGGUCACACUGGGACUGAGACACGGCCCAGACUCCUACGGGAGGCAGCAGUGGGGAAUAUUGCACACUGGGCGCAAGCCUGAUGCAGCGACGCCGCGUGAGGGAUGGAGGCCUUCGGGUUGUAAACCUCUUUCGCCAGUGAAGCAGGCCUGCUCCUUGUGGGUGGGUUGACGGUAGCUGGAUAAGAAGCGCCGGCUAACUACGUG